rnacentral:rRNA from 1 species
UUAAGUUAUUAAGGGCGCACGGUGGAUGCCUUGGCACUAGAAGCCGAUGAAGGACGUUACUAACGACGAUAUGCUUUGGGGAGCUGUAAGUAAGCUUUGAUCCAGAGAUUUCCGAAUGGGGAAACCCAGCAUGAGUUAUGUCAUGUUAUCGAUAUGUGAAUACAUAGCAUAUCAGAAGGCACACCCGGAGAACUGAAACAUCUUAGUACCCGGAGGAAGAGAAAGAAAAUUCGAUUCCCUUAGUAGCGGCGAGCGAAACGGGAAGAGCCCAAACCAACAAGCUUGCUUGUUGGGGUUGUAGGACACUCUAUACGGAGUUACAAAGGACGACAUUAGACGAAUCAUCUGGAAAGAUGAAUCAAAGAAGGUAAUAAUCCUGUAGUCGAAAAUGUUGUCUCUCUUGAGUGGAUCCUGAGUACGACGGAGCACGUGAAAUUCCGUCGGAAUCUGGGAGGACCAUCUCCUAAGGCUAAAUACUCUCUAGUGACCGAUAGUGAACCAGUACCGUGAGGGAAAGGUGAAAAGCACCCCGGAAGGGGAGUGAAAUAGAACCUGAAACCGUGUGCUUACAAGUAGUCAGAGCCCGUUAAUGGGUGAUGGCGUGCCUUUUGUAGAAUGAACCGGCGAGUUACGAUUUGAUGCAAGGUUAAGCAGUAAAUGUGGAGCCGUAGCGAAAGCGAGUCUGAAUAGGGCGUUUAGUAUUUGGUCGUAGACCCGAAACCAGGUGAUCUACCCUUGGUCAGGUUGAAGUUCAGGUAACACUGAAUGGAGGACCGAACCGACUUACGUUGAAAAGUGAGCGGAUGAACUGAGGGUAGCGGAGAAAUUCCAAUCGAACCUGGAGAUAGCUGGUUCUCUCCGAAAUAGCUUUAGGGCUAGCCUCAAGUGAUGAUUAUUGGAGGUAGAGCACUGUUUGGACGAGGGGCCCCUCUCGGGUUACCGAAUUCAGACAAACUCCGAAUGCCAAUUAAUUUAACUUGGGAGUCAGAACAUGGGUGAUAAGGUCCGUGUUCGAAAGGGAAACAGCCCAGACCACCAGCUAAGGUCCCAAAAUAUAUGUUAAGUGGAAAAGGAUGUGGCGUUGCCCAGACAACUAGGAUGUUGGCUUAGAAGCAGCCAUCAUUUAAAGAGUGCGUAAUAGCUCACUAGUCGAGUGACACUGCGCCGAAAAUGUACCGGGGCUAAACAUAUUACCGAAGCUGUGGAUUGUCCUUUGGACAAUGGUAGGAGAGCGUUCUAAGGGCGUUGAAGCAUGAUCGUAAGGACAUGUGGAGCGCUUAGAAGUGAGAAUGCCGGUGUGAGUAGCGAAAGACGGGUGAGAAUCCCGUCCACCGAUUGACUAAGGUUUCCAGAGGAAGGCUCGUCCGCUCUGGGUUAGUCGGGUCCUAAGCUGAGGCCGACAGGCGUAGGCGAUGGAUAACAGGUUGAUAUUCCUGUACCACCUAUAAUCGUUUUAAUCGAUGGGGGGACGCAGUAGGAUAGGCGAAGCGUGCGAUUGGAUUGCACGUCUAAGCAGUAAGGCUGAGUAUUAGGCAAAUCCGGUACUCGUUAAGGCUGAGCUGUGAUGGGGAGAAGACAUUGAG